GUGAGCUGGAGAGGGGAGGACUAGGUGUGGGAAACAGUGAAUAUUGAGUCAGAGAGAAAAAAGAGGCUUCAAGUGUCCUCCCCAGUGAGGAGGCCUCCGCAGAAUGACCCGAUGAAGAGACCUCCUCUCUCUGAAUGCAGGGAGGGCUAGAGAUGCAGAUAUGCAUAAGCGCAUGGUGCUGAGGAUGGAGUGACUGAGCCCUUGACUGCAGCUCCCUUCAGAGACUGCAGUUUACUGGCUGCACACAGUCUGGUGUGGGGAGGACAAUUUUUCCCUGUGAAGCCUGCCAGGAUAUAAAGAUGUUUAAUUGGACAACCUUAUUCAUUCAGCUGUGACUUGCAGAAGGAUCUGAGCAGGGAGCUGGUUUGGAUUAAAGUCACAUACAAACUGAGCCAUCUCCAACAUCUACAUCAGGAAGUAACUCUAACUCAAGAUAGAGGUCACUGGAGGGGCAACAGGUGCUGAGAUGUCUAUGCAGGCAAGUCUGAGGUUAGCCUCCCAGAGUUUCGGGGAAAAGCACACAGGCAUUCCUGAACACUCUGAGAGGUGCAGAAAAGUGGCUGAGCAGACAGACACAAGGUCUGGCAUGGAGGCAGAGGAUCACAGCGGAGCAUGGACCUAACAGCUGGAUGCCGUGUGGUGAUAUCACUAUCAGCAGAAGAUGCAACAAGACCGGGGCCACUGCUCAAGGCCAGAGAAACAGGUUCAUGGAAAACCAGUUUAGCAUCACUAACAAGCCACCUUACGGGUGUAGAUAAAGGACUGGCGCCACAACGUCUAUAUGGACUAAACUUUUCAUUUUCAUCACUUUUUGCUUUUGACACCUCCUCCUGCAUGAGGGACAACACCAUUCAGCUGUUGGGAGACAACUGUCCUCGAGUCUCAUGUGUUCCUGCAUUUGUUGUGAGGAGAGGCUCUAACGAUCUUUGCUUCAGACUAUCUUUCCAAGGAUAUUCGUAUGGUGAACAGCACUGAAGGGUAGAGAUGGUGUCUCCCACCAGAGCAGAGGAGAAAUUUGUCUUCUGGCCAGUGUAAUAUAGAUACCUUCCUAGAGGGAAAAGGGUGGGCCUAUUUGCCUGCACCCCAUUAGAAAAGACUGGAUUUUAUACGCUCUGGGUUCCUUGGCUCUUCAUCAUCCUUGUGGGAUUUGUGGGCAUGGAGAACUGAGAACUGGUGCACUCAUGAAGGUUAUGAAGAUCAUGCUGUCUUGUAUUCCAUAAGUGAUAAAGUUCUUUGUCACCAACCCAGAAGUGUUCUGUCUUUUGCCAGAAUCUAUUAAGCUGAGGCGGGCUA
rnacentral:lncRNA from 10 species